rnacentral:rRNA from 1 species
GUGAGGAAUAUUGCGCAAUGGGCGAAAGCCUGACGCAGCAACGCCGCGUGGGUGAGGAAGGUCUUCGGAUCGUAAAGCCCUUUUCUGUGUGACGAGGAAGGACGGUAGCACAGGAAUAAGUGUCGGCUAACUACGUGCCAGCAGCCGCGGUAAAACGUAGGACGCAAGCGUUAUCCGGAAUUACUGGGCGUAAAGCGCGCGCAGGCGGGCUGUCAAGUCAUGUGUGAAAGCUCCUGGCUAAACUGGGAGAGGACGGAUGAAACUGGCAGUCUGGAGGGUGUUAGAGGAGUGUGGAAUUCCGCGUGUAGUGGUGAAAUGCGUAGAGAUGCGGAGGAACACCGGAGGCGAAGGCGGCACUCUGGGACACAACUGACGCUGAGGCGCGAAAGCAUGGGUAGCGAACGGGAUUAGAAACCCGGGUAGUCC